rnacentral:rRNA from 1 species
CCUACGGGUGGCAGCAGUGAGGAAUAUUGGUCAAUGGACGAGAGUCUGAACCAGCCAAGUAGCGUGAAGGAUGACUGCCCUAUGGGUUGUAAACUUCUUUUAUAAAGGAAUAAAACGAGGCACGUGUGCCUUUUUGCAUGUACUUUAUGAAUAAGGAUUGGCUAACUCCGUGCCAGCAGCCGCGGUAAUACGGAGGAUCCGAGCGUUAUCCGGAUUUAUUGGGUUUAAAGGGAGCGUAGAUGGGUUGUUAAGUCAGUUGUGAAAGUUUGCGGCUCAACCGUAAAAUUGCAAUUGAUACUGGCAGUCGUGAGUACAGUGGAGGUAGGCGGAAUUCGUGGUGUAGCGGUGAAAUGCUUAGAUAUCACGAAGAACCACGAUUGCGAAGGCAGCUUACUAAACUGUGACUGACAUUGAUGCUCGAAAGUGUGGGUAUCAAACAGGAUUAGAUACCCUAGUC